UAAUACCCGGUGGGCGCCACCGCACUGUAUGGCGGAGUUCCGGCGACGACGUCGAAAACCCCAGGCUGCCCAGGUGUGGGAUUCACCGCAUCCAAUCCCAGCAUUAUCAGUCUCUGAUUCAUCGUCACGCCGUGAGUGCUAAAUCCAGGUACACCCAUCGUAACCUUCAUAAUGUUCUGCAUAUCCGGUCCCGCGGGGACCUUCACCUGAAUCGUAAUCUUGCCUUUGUACCCAAACUGCGCAAUCGCAGCUCCGUUCAAGAUCUCAGGCUUCUUGUCCGCCAGCGCCGGGUCCAGGUAAGGCGGGGAGAAUUUCUCAACCCUCAAUUCCGUCGGGAACAUGGCCUUUUCGUAGAUGUAGCCGUUAUUCGUGUUGCUUCCGGCAAUCAAGACCCUGCCG
rnacentral:lncRNA from 1 species